rnacentral:sRNA from 1 species
UGCUUUGUAGAAUGGUGUGUAACAGAAC